rnacentral:rRNA from 1 species
GAUGAACGCUGGCGGCGUGCCUAACACAUGCAAGUCGAGCGAAUAGAUGAGGCGUUUGCCUCGCUGACGCUAGGGGCGGACGGGUGAGUCACACGUGUAUACCCUACCUAUGAGACUGGGAUCACUUCGCGAGCGCGGAUCCAACACCGGACCAUAUAUUGAACCGCAGGGUUCUUCAGUGCAAGACGGCUUUGCUGUCACUUAUAGAUGUUUCCGCGCCGGAUUGGCUAGUUGGUAGGGUAACGGCUUACCAAGGCUACGAUGCGUAGCCGACCUGAGAGGGUGAUCGGCCACACUGGAACUGAGACACGGUCCAGACUCCUACGGGAGGCAGCAGUAGGGAAUCUUGCGCAAUGGGCGAAAGCCUGACGGAGCAACGCCGCGUGAGUGAUGAAGGUCUUCGGAUCGUAAAGCUCUGUUAGUAGGGAGGAACAAAUGUGUAAUUAAACAUGCCCGUCUUGACGGUACCAACUCAAAAAGCACCGGCUAACUACGUG